CGGCAAAAGCUCAAAUUUGAAAUCUGGUACCUUCGGUGCCCGAGUUGUAAUUUGGAGAGGGCAACUUUGGGGCCGUUCCUUGUCUAUGUUCCUUGGAACAGGACGUCAUAGAGGGUGAGAAUCCCGUGUGGCGAGGAGUGCGGUUCUUUGUAAAGUGCCUUCGAAGAGUCGAGUUGUUUGGGAAUGCAGCUCUAAGUGGGUGGUAAAUUCCAUCUAAAGCUAAAUAUUGGCGAGAGACCGAUAGCGAACAAGUACAGUGAUGGAAAGAUGAAAAGAACUUUGAAAAGAGAGUGAAAAAGUACGUGAAAUUGUUGAAAGGGAAGGGCAUUUGAUCAGACAUGGUGUUUUGUGCCCUCUGCUCCUUGUGGGUAGGGGAAUCUCGCAUUUCACUGGGCCAGCAUCAGUUUUGGUGGCAGGAUAAAUCCAUAGGAAUGUAGCUUGCCUCGGUAAGUAUUAUAGCCUGUGGGAAUACUGCCAGCUGGGACUGAGGACUGCGACGUAAGUCAAGGAUGCUGGCAUAAUGGUUAUAUGCC
rnacentral:rRNA from 1 species